ACCUUCCAGAGAGAUAUGGGUGCUUUGGAGUGGGCUAGAGGGGAGCAGAUGGAGGAGGCAUCCACUGGCUUCCCUGUUCUCUGCUGGCAAUAGGAGGCAGCCCCUAGAGGUGUGCUCAGUGUAGAAGCUGGACUCUGAGGCAACAGCUUUUAAUAUAUGCAACCACGUCCUUUUCGGGGAAAGAUCAGGAGCUAGACCUCUAGGGCUGGUUAAGCACCAUUUCUUUGUUAGUUUUCUGGGUCUGAUGUCGUGGAUACAAGCCCUACUGGCUUUAAGAAUUAGGUUUUUUCGGGGACCUGGAUGGCUCAGAUGGUUAAGCGUCUGCCUUUGGCUCAGGUCAUGAAAUAGGGGUCCUGGGAUUGAGCCCCUGUCUGGCUCCCAGCUCAGCAGGGAGUCUGCUUCUCCCUCUCUCUGCCUCUCCCCCUGCUUGUGCUCUCUCGGUGUCUGUCUCUCUCCCAAAUAAAUAAAUAAUAUCUUUUAAAAAAAAGCUGUUUUAGGGGCCCAUCUCUCAGUUUUAAAAGUUGUGCUAAAUGUGGGGUCUAAACGUUCAGGGAGAACCUUGCAGUUGGCAGCUUCCAGCUGAUUUUGUGGCAUCGUGUUGGGGUUGGGGUUUAUGGUGAGGGCUUGGCUCAGCUUUUCCUGCCCAUUUCAGUGUGUGUAUUUUUUUGAUUGCCAAAUGUGUAAGAGUAGCUCAGCUAGUUGGAUUUUUUGCAUCAAAAAUUCAUCUGGGUAGUGGCACAUUUGCUGUAUUCUGGGGAGGAGUUCGGGGGCCUCCUGUGUCACCAUCUUGGGCCAGAACCCUCAGCUAACUUCUUAACACGUUUUGAUGUGACUCGGUUUCCCCCCCACCUUGUAUUUUCAAAGACCUUGUAUAAGUAACUCAUUGCAUACUUGUUUUAUAGCUUGAUUUUUCAGUCAACUUAAAUUCUAAGCAGCAUUCUUAAUAUUUCACAUCAGAACCGAUCCCAUUUAAAGAGAAGACAUUUCUUAUAUACCUUUUCAGAUGGCUGCAUCCUCUAGAAGGGCUAUGGAUGCGUGAUGUGUCAUGUGAGAACUCCCCUGCCCGCUCCCACCCGGACAAGACCCCCUGAAUGCAUCUUUGUUCAAAUCUUCCCCAGGAAGGGCGAGGAUCCCAAGGUGGCACCUCAUUGAAGAAAACGGCAGUGUCUCAGUAAGUGACAAGAGCUGGUACUUACUCAGGAAGUUCAGAUGACGAAAAUCCCAGUGCAUAAUUGUGCUAACAGAUAAGUAAACUGAUAGUAAAAUGAAAUCCUAAGUAACAAACUUAGCUCUGCUGCUUUAGAGAGCUGUUAGAUCUAGAGUUUUGUUUUUAGGAGCUAGAUCUUUUCUACCUUGGGUUUGUAAAGGAGCCAGGGGUACAUGGACCCUUCGGAAGGUUCGACAUUGUUUUUUCUUUCCCCACACUUAAGCUUUGUGUUAAUCCCAUAUGUAUAAUUGCUUUCAUUUGUGGACGCUAGUCAGAAAAUUUCUAUACUUCACAGAACUAUAGAGAUGGUGGUAGCAUCCCCCUGUAAACACGAUUUCCAUACACAUGUGAAAUCUUGAUAAUGCGUACUAUUUAAAAAUGACACCAUACUAGAGACAGAGGAAGAUAGUAUUUAUGUAUGGUAAAAAGGCAAGUGAGUGAAGCUAUACUUUUAUUGCAUUACUCUUAGUACAUCCACAACUAUUUCCACCUAAAUAGAUCUUUAAAAUAAGCAUACACAAGUAUUGACUAUUAUCUACAAAUAUUUAUUGUAACACUUGAAUAGAACUACAGGAAGCCCUUGGCACUGAUAGAAAAUAUUGAUUCACUGUUAGGUUACAAAAAUUUAUACAUAGCAAAAUUUAAUGCUCUUUACAUAAAAAAUAUUAGACUACUUAAACAAAACUUUCAAAAAUUCCUGGUAAUAGCUACCAGAAUUAGAAAAGUAAAAUUAGGCUUGAGACACUGCCUGUUCUAGAAUACUGGACUCUAACAGCACCUCCACUGCUGGAAAAAAAAAAUUUAAGUCUGUCAUGCAACAGGAAAACAAAACAAGCUAUUCUGGAACAACUGUUCUACACAAAAGAGAGCUUCUCCCAAUUGAAAAAAAAAAAAAGUCAAGAUCCAAAUAGGCAUUUUUAGGCAUUAACAACAACAAAAAGAAUCCAAAUGAAAUAUACUUGAAGUUCAAUUUUAAUAGCAUCUUGAUAAAGGUAUGCUUCCUUUCAUUUUAAUACAUUUCUGCACAUGUAUAUGUUUUAAAAUCCAGGAAACAGCCAAACCACAAGUUACUUCUUAACACGAAUAUACAUGGUUAACCCUAUAUUAUGCAGCCUCUUUUAAAAAGCACUGAUGCACCCGACAGUUAUAUGUAUCAUUUCAUAAAGAACAACACAAAGCUUACCGUCACUAAUACCCAAUACCUAUAAUCACUUAAUGUUCUGGAACACAAUGCUUUAGAAGGCAAGUUUCUUUUGAAAAUGGCUUAAACUCAAGCAGGUGUUUUUUUGCUGAACGUCCGACUUUUAUUAUUCCAGGAAAGAUUUAAAAAAUGAAAUAAAUACCAACCCUAAUUGAAAUUACUUAAGUAUUCAAGUCUAAAAGGAGGAGGUGGAGGUCUGUGGUCUAUUUGUAAUUAGAUUUUAGAUCGUUGGUACGAAACUGUAAACUUGCUGUUCAGACCACAUAAAAAUGGUUUAGAAUGGUGGUCAUUUUAAUAAGGUAACACUUCUUAAUUAAGAAAAACCUUGGUGGAACAAAAGUCUAUGAAGGAUUUGGCUCUCCUGUUGUAAAAUGAGUUCUUAGAGAUUUAAAACAAAUACUCAUUAAGGCAGAGCUGACAUUUAUUUCCCAGGAAGAAUGACGACUGGGCCAUUUUAUUUAAAGGAAAUCUAUUAUGAAAUUGAUUUUGGAAAGCUUGUCAAGGAGUCCGAAUCCAGCUUCUUCAGUGGCACGUGUAGCAGAAUUAUAGUAGUUCCUUUUAGCAUUAUUGAAACAUAGAUUUCUAAUUGGAUCAGGAAAUUAAUGUGGCCUGGACUCAAGGGGUAGGGAAGGCAGCUAAUUUUAAAAAGUCAAUUGUCAAGAAUCACAUUAUCUUUGAGCCUAAGUUUAAUAAAUGUCAGCUAUCAGAAAUGGAACGCCCCCCCCCCCAGCCCAAUUCCAUUUUAUUCCCUAUAGGGGUAAAGUGACUGCAGGACAGAUGGCGUAUGUGAAUUGAUGGUCACGUUCCUUGAUGCCGGCACAGCCUCGGUCCCUCUCAAGGAAUAGGCCAGCUCCCCGUCGCCUCUCCUGGUAGGAUCGCUCUAGCGAUAAACCUGAACAUGCCACCAAUUUCAGAAAGAUCAUCCUUUUCUCAAAGUGUUGCCUUUUAAAAUGGCUAACAUGAAACCUCCAAUAUCUGCUCUAAAGAAAAAGCUUGACCUGCUGGAAGGUGUUCCUGGAAAUACACCCCAGCAGCUCGAGCCGGACAGGGAAGUAUUUAGGUUGUUUGGUGGGGUACACAUCUGUACUGCAGGGCAGCUGUCUCAGGAGUGGGCAGAGCGGUCAAUUCGUCGGCCGUAACACUCUGGCAAACAUUUAUGUGUACGAAUUGAGUUGUUCUUUUGACCGAGACUGAAUAUCUUGCAGUUCCUGUUCUUCCUUUGCUUUGAUAUCCUGGUAAGCCUGCAUUUUGCUUGCAUCCUUUAAGUAAGCCCAGUUAGAAGACAGUAUCAUGAGGAAGUGGAUCUGGAAAAGAAGGGUGAGCAUGAUGGCUAGUGAGCAUGUCAGAAGGCAAAGCAAGCUGCUAGGCAGAUUAGACGGUUUUUACUAUCAAAAGGGAGAGGGUUAUUCUGUAUUAAUUCUCAUUCUGCUGUCAGAGCCAUCAGAUUCUGGAAGCAUGCUCCACUAGUAUGCUUAAGAGUAAGAGGCUGAAGAAAAGUUAGUAUACAAACACGAUGAACUGAAAAAAAUGGCCAAAGUUAUUGUUAAGAAAAAGCAAAAAUGAAAUAGGAGAGAGUGGUUUUUAUUCUUCUCCCCCCCCCCCCCCAUUUUGGGAGUAAUUUUAACAACUAACAUAGACGUUCAGAAACACCUGGUGUGCUUUUUUAAAAUCAGUGCAGGGCAAAGGUCUUCCCUCUCUGUGGAUAAAAAUCAGUUCCCCAAAGGCCUACAAGUGAAUGAUACUUAUUUUGAGUAACUCAUCAACUACACAGUUAACAUGGGAAAAUUAAGACCUCUAAGCACAGCCUGCAAUCCGUGUGAGCAUGUGCUUAGGGGCGCACCUCCAGUUUUCGUUCUAAGACUGCCAUGAGUGCAGGUCCCAAAUGUACAAAUCCUUCUUCUUUACAGUGGGGGCGGCCAACACUUCUUGCCCACUCAUUUUCCUCCAAAAUCUACAUCUCCAGUUCCUCCUAUUUCCUUUUCAACAUAUUUGAGACUUUCAGAUCCAGGCACAAUUUCUCUUCCCCUCAGAAUCUGAUGUGCGGUGUGAGACCUGGCUAUGAGGAAUCAGGGGCUCCGCACCGGGAACACAACACCACCAGGUAAGGGGUGACUGGGUGGUGCAGAGAGAACACACACCCCACGUACAGAUCCUGGUCUCACAGAAGGUAACGGGGUGCCCUUUAUUCUUCACAUUGUCCUCUAGCUGGCAGGCUAAUUGGAGGGGCAUGUAUUUGGUAGUGAGCCAUGUAAUCAGAAAAAAAAAGUUUUAGUCAAAUUUAAAAUGUUUGCCUUUUUUCCAGAGUCUAAGAAAACAAAAAAAAUCCAGAUGAAAACGCAUCUCUCUGCCAUCUCUCCAGCACUGGUAUUGGUUAUCAAGCAAGCAACAAUAACGGACAAGAAUCCAGAUCCCUCCGGGCCCAGACAGGCAACCGGGACGGGCUGCGCUCCGGACCGUAUGGCCGGAAGGCAAAUCUGGCGCUGGAGCCUCGAGCGGGGAGCUGCGCUAGGCCGGGCCCGGGGCCGUUGCUACUCACCAGGGCGACGACAGUGGCACCAGCUCCGGCGCAGGCCACGAUGAACAGAUGGAUGAGACUAGGACCACUCUCAAAUUAUCGCCCAAGGAGAAAGCUCUCUGAGUGCUAAGGAUCCUCACUGAACCGGCUGGACCAUGGGAAAGGGGGCAUUUUCUAGGCGGUGCUGAAGACCUGCAGACUCCGUCUCACUUUCCGUACUGCAAGGAAGAGCUGGAGGGUCUUCGGUCCGCCUGGGGGGCGGGCUCACACAGGCCGCCCCGGCCGCCCGGCUGUAGUCGGUCAGUGCUUUUGCUUUUAUUGCAAGGGCAUUCAUACUUACAGAAGCGUUUGCAUUUCUAAAGACAUUCAAAGAAGCCGAUUUCAGCCGUUUCUCACUCCCUGUUGCCCCUGCGCUUAUGGAUGGGCUGCUCCAGACUAGGCUGGGUUUUCUUACCCACCCUUCAAAGGAAUCCUUUCUUCUUAGUAACUCCACAAAGACGUGAACAUUGCCUUCUAGCGGUGGUCAGGGCUCCGCAGGGCAGGCCUGUGGAGAGCGCCCCCUGCGGACCAUUCCUGGCCUGGCGGCCCGAGGCCUUCACAGGCGCUUCCUGAGUGCGCCGCCCAGCAGCAGCUUCGCAUCAGGGACCGGUGAGCACCAGGCCUGCUGGUGAACCAAGGGCAGCUCCGCUGUCCCGGGUGGACAGGGCUCACGGAGCUUUCUGUUGGGAGCACGUCUGCCCCAGCUGUCGUCAGGGCUCCCCGGUCACCUCCGACUUCCUAACAUGCUCCAAGGCAGGUCUGUUCCAUGGUUCCCUUGAAGGUCCAGUCAUACCUCCGAGAUACUGCGGUUUGGUUCCAGACCAUCACAAGAAAGCGAGUCAAAUUAAUUUGGGGGUUUCCCAGUGCAAAGUUCUCAUUGUACUGUAGUCUGUUAAGUGUGCAAGAGCAUUAGGUCCAGAAAAGACAAGGUCCCGACCUUCAAGAAAAUAUACUUUAGUGCUAAAAACUGCUGACCAUCAUCUGAGCUUUGAGUGAGUCAGUCUUCCAGCUGGUGGAGGGUCUGGGCUUAAUGCUGGCUGCUGGCUGAUCAGCAAUGAAGUUCGUUGCACCGCCGACUCUUCCCUUCACUCAGGAUUUCUCUGCAGCACGCCGUGCUGGUCGAGGGCACUUUACCCAGAGAACUUCUUUCCGAAAUGGAUGUAAUCCUCUCCAGUACUGGCACUGCUGCUUUAGCAGUAGCCCUUUUAGGCACCAGCUGCUAACAAGAGACUCAGCCUGCCCUUUGCAACUUUAAAACCAGGCACUGACUUCUCCUCUCUAGCUGUGAAAGUCCUAAGGGGCAUCUUCUUCCAGUAGAAGGCUGUUUCUUCUACAUGGGAAAUCUGAGCCGGAUCCUCUGGAUCACUUGCUGCAGCUUCUCCAUCAGCACGUGCUGCUUCACUUUGCACUCUGAUGUUAUGGAGUCGGCUUCUUUCCUUAAACCUUAUGAACCAACCUCUGCUAGUUUCAGACUUUCCUUCUGCAGCUUCCUCACCUCUCUCAGCCUUCACAGAACUGAAGAGUUAGGGCCUUGCUGUGCAUUAGGCUUUGACUUAAAGGAACAUUCCAGCUGGUUUGCCCUUCCGUCCAGAGCACUACAACGGUCUCUUAUCACUUGUGUGUUCACUGGACUAACACCUUUCAUUUCCUUUAAGAACUUUCCUGGGCAUUCACUCCUUGGCUGUUUGGCACAAGAAGCCUAGCUUUCGGCCUAUCUGGGCUCUCGACCUACCUUCCUCACUAAGCUUGGUCACUUCUGGCUUUUGGUUGAAAGUGAGAGACGCGUCACUCUUCCUUCCCCUUGAACACUUAGAGGCCAUUGUAGGGUUAGUAAUUGGCCUGAUUUCAAUACUUUGGUGUCUCAGGGAAUAGGGAGGAAGAUGGGGGUGGGGGGAAUGGCCAGUCUGGGGAGCAGGCAGACCACAUGCAGCACGUAUUAGUGAAGUUUGCCAGCUUACAUAUGUGCGGUUUGGGGCACCCCAAAGCACUGAUCACCACGACACACAGAAAAACGGAACAGGUUGAAAUGUUGUAAGAAUUACCAAAAUGUGACAGACACGAAACAGGCAAGUACUUUGGGAAAAAUGGCGCCGACAGACCUGCUGGGCACAGGAUUGCCGCAACCCUUCCGUGUGUAAUGAAGUCCAAUAACGCGAGGGAUGCCUGUAUGAAGCCAACCCGUGUUCAAGGUACCCAGCGUGGCUUUUCAACUUUUUGGGAACAGAGCUUUUCUUCAAUAAAAUUGAACAUGUAAAAGAG